CUCACAACUGCCCCAUGCCCCUCAAUCCACGCUCAUGCACCUGCCCUGUCUCUGUCUCCUGCCUCCAGACCUUCCGUCAUAAGCUGGUGGAGCCUGUCUGUGCUUUCUGGAACUACAGUAUCAGAUGAGUUUCCAUUUCCAGGUUCUUUUUUUUUUUUUUGAGAUGGAGUCUUGCUCUGUUGCCUAGGCUGGAGUUCAAUAGCACAAUCUUGGCUCAAUACAACCUCCAUCUCCCGGGUUCAAGCAAUUCUCCUGUCUCAGCCUCCCGAGUAGCUGAGAUUACAGGCGCCCGCCAUCACGCCCAACUAAUUUUUGUAUUUUUAGUAGAGACAGGGUUUUGCCAUGAUGGCCAGGCUGGUCUCGAACUCCUGACCUCAGGUGAUCCACCCACCUCAGCCUCCCAAAGUGCUAGGAUUACAGGUGUGAACCACCAAACCCAGCCGUUAAGAUGAUUUUUUUAAAAAUAUGUCCACUCUGCUUGGGGAUGAGGCAAGACUUACACAUGGUUUUGACCUCUGUUCACCAUCUGCCUUUCAGGGUGACUCCAGGCUCCUCCCAGCUCUAAGACAAGCUGCAGCGGGAGGAUGUGUUACCCAGGGGGUAGUGAGCUCCUUGUCAUAGGAGUAUGUGAAGGAGGAAGCACUCACUCUGUGAGGUGCCUAGGAAGAGAAUCAUCUGUCAAAUUGGCGUUGAACUUGAUCUAUCUGAGGCCGGGGCCCUUGGACUCUUGAAGGAGCAGAGCAGGCUCCAGGGAUUAUCCUGGCUCCCUGCCCUGGAUCUUUAGCUGAGGUAGGGAACCUUGGUCCCAGUGGCUCAGUAAUUAAUUAAGUUGAUAAAUGACAGUCACUGGGAUCAGCCCUGCCCUCCUACCAUCCUAAGAAUGUCAAGCACAUUUUACAGGUGAAAAACUGAGACCCAGGAAGGGGCGGUGACUCGCCAAGGUCACCUAGCUGGUUAGAGGCAGGGCAGUGACAGGCCCCAGGCUCUGGGGAAAGCCUUUCCCCUGCUUGCUUCUGGCCCCUCACCCCCUUGUCCACCUUAUCUCAAGAGCCCCCUGUUCCCUCCCCAUCCCCCAAGCCCAUAUACAGGGGGUGCCUGGGCCACCACAGGCUGCUCCGUGGCUGCCCUGUACCUGGACUCCACCGCCUGCUUCUGCAACCACAGCACCAGCUUUGCCAUCCUGCUGCAAAUCUAUGAAGUACAGGUGAGUGCACGGUGGGAGGGGGGUGUCAGGAGGGGGCUUCUUAGCUGGAGGUGAAGAGAAGAGCCAAUAGGUAGCCAGAAGAAGCAUCUGAGGGAUGCCAGCUUUCAUAGAUUGUCGGGGACAGGGCUGCAUGCAGUAGUUCAUGCCUGUUGUCCCAGCACUUUGGGCGGCUGAUCACUUGAGCCCAGGAGUUCAAGACCAGCCUGGGCAACAUGGCAAAACCCCGUCUCUACCAAAAAUGCAAAAAUUAGCCAGGUGUGGUGGCUCGUGCCUAUAGUCCCAACUAUUCAGGAGGCUGAGGCAGGAGGAUUGCUUGAGCCCAGGAAGUCGAGGCUGCAGUGAGCCAAGGUCACACCACUGCACUCCAGCCUGGGUGACAGAGCAAAAACCUGUCUAAAAAUAAAUGAGUAAAUAAUAAAUUGUAAAAAAAAUUGUUGGGGGAAAACUCUAAGAGGAUGUCAGGAGGGGUCGGAUUCACUGGAGCUGGAAAGGGCCCCGGAGUGGUUACUUGCUGAGAAGUCAGGUGAGAUGGGACGUGAGCCUCAGGAACGCUGGGGUCACUACAAGGAACACCUUGUAGUGUUGAGGGGCACACUACAAAAACAUGUUACCAAAUGCAUUUUUCCUGUAGAGUCAGGGCCAGGCACGGUGGCUCCCACCUGUAAUCCGACCACUUUGGGAGGCCAAGGCAGGCGGAUCAUUUGAGGUCAGGACUUGGAGACCAUCCUGGCCAACAUGGUGAAACCCCAUCUCUACUAAAAAUACAAACAUUAGCCGGGCAUGGUGGCCCGUGCCUGUGGUCCCAGCUACUCGGGAGGCUGAGGCACAAGAAUCACUUGAACCCAGGAGGCGGAGGUUGCAGUGAGCUGUGAGCUGAGAUUGCGCCACUUGCUCUCCAGCCUGGGUGACAGACUGUCUUGAAGCAAC
rnacentral:lncRNA from 1 species